ensembl:lncRNA
GCUGUUUAAAUAAAAUUAUAUGGUGGGGCUUUUGGUGAGAUGUACCUCAGAGAGCAACUAAGCAAAUAAGAGCAGAUGUUCUUACAUUUUUGGAUUUGUAAAUCCGUGAAACAAAUGUCUGGGAGUAAGGGAUAUAUCCUUGACUUGCUUAUAAUGAAUUUAACUGAGUGGCACAGAAAUAUGUGCUCUUUGCAUUGCAAAUCCUCAAACUAUCUUGUUAACCUAAGACCGCAGGCUGUGUGAAGCAUUUUGGAUGUGAUACCGAUGCAAUAUGUAAAAACACUCCAGUACAAGCAAAACUGAUGCAUUCUUAUUAUAAAUGUUGCAAAUGUGUUGCAUUUAUUUACAAAAAUAUAAUUGAUGGAAAUCAUGUCGAUCAUGCCACAUUUGGGGUUUUUUAUAUUGAACCGGUAUGCCAAUUUCACUCACUAGCUAGUGGAGGUAGAGAUAAUUAAACUUGCUCAAUUUUUGCCAACCUCCAAAGUGUAACCAAUUUCAAAUGUUCACUCCACUUCAAAAAGAUCUUGGUCUGUAAAAAAAAAAAAAAAAACAAUUAUCCCACACCUCGCUUGAUGUGACCUCACUAAACACUUUCCUAUUACAUUUAUAGUUUCAACCACUACUUUCAAGUCUUACUGAUAAUGGUAUGAUAAUGAUUUUAUAAAUUAUAGUCCCAUUAGAGUCAAAAAGGAGGAUGGAGUACACUGUUCUUUGGGUAACUGCCCUUUUUCGAGUUGCUAAGGCAUUACUGUAUUUUAUCAUGUUUCUUAGUUUUCAGUUAAAUCAUAAACCACUACCCCAUUUCCAAAAAACGUUAGAACACAUAAUGGAAAAAAAAAGAAAAAAUUCAUGUACCCAAUUUUUAUUCAUAACAAAACACAGAAAACACACAACUUAGAUAUUUGAGUAUUUCAUUUUGAAUGUGAUGGCAGCCUCGUAAGAAUUGUAACAGGCCCAUGUUUACCGCUGUGUAUCACAGUCCAUAAUGGUGCCUUUCCACAUAUGCAAGCUGCCAAUUCCAUAGAUAAUAAUGCGCCCCAAUACCACCACAGGUGCAGUCUUUUGAACUGAGCGCUAAUAAUGAGCCAAAUAGUGAUGUCCAUGUUUUUUGCCAAUCAGCAUA